rnacentral:rRNA from 1 species
CCAGACUCCUACGGGAGGCAGCAGUGAGGAAUAUUGGUCAAUGGGCGGGAGCCUGAACCAGCCAAGCCGCGUGAGGGAAGAAGGUACAGCGUAUCGUAAACCUCUUUUGUCAGGGAACAAAGGCGGGGACUAGUCCCCGGAUGAGGGUACCUGAAGAAAAAGCAUCGGCUAACUCCGUGCCAGCAGCCGCGGUAAUACGGAGGGUGCGAGCGUUAAUCGGAAUUACUGGGCGUAAAGCGCUCGUAGGCGGUAUGUCAAGUCAAGGGUGAAAUCCCCGCGCUCAACGUGGGAACUGCCUUUGAAACUGGCAAACUGGAGUGUGUGAGAGGAUAGUGGAAUUCCAGGUGUAGGAGUGAAAUCCGUAGAUAUCUGGAGGAACAUCAGUGGCGAAGGCGACUAUCUGGCACAUAACUGACGCUGAGGAGCGAAAGCGUGGGUAGCAAACAGGAUUAGAUACCCCGGUA